rnacentral:rRNA from 1 species
AGGGAAUCUUCCGCAAUGGACGAAAGUCUGACGAAGCAACGCCGCGUGAGUGAAGAAGGCCUUCGGGUCGUAAAACUCUGUUGCCGGGGAAGAACAAGUGCCGUUCGAACAGGGCGGCGCCUUGACGGUACCCGGCCAGAAAGCCACGGCUAACUACGUGCCAGCAGCCGCGGUAAUACGUAGGUGGCAAGCGUUGUCCGGAAUUAUUGGGCGUAAAGCGCGCGCAGGCGGCUUCUUAAGGCUGAUGUGAAAUCUUGCGGCUCAACCGCAAGCGGGCAUUGGAAACUGGGAGGCUUGAGUGCAGAAGAGGAGAGUGGAAUUCCACGUGUAGCGGUGAAAUGCGUAGAGAUGUGGAGGAACACCAGUGGCGAAGGCGACUCUCUGGGCUGUAACUGACGCUGAGGCGCGAAAGCGUGGGGAGCAAAC